GCAGUGUCUCGACCUGUCGCUGGUGUCAACCACCUCUAUCCGUUAGGAAGAGAGGGAAGGGCACGAGAGGAAAGUCCGGGCAGCAUAGGGUGCCCCACUUCUGAAAGUAGAAGCAGUUGGUGACAAUUGGAUAUGGAAGAAGAAAAUAACCGCCUCUUUGAGGUAAGGGUGAGAAAGUGGUGUAAGAGACCACUAGUCAACGGGUGAUCGUUGUACUGUUCCAUCUGGGGGCUGCAAGUUCGCGUAUACCAUCGUCUGAGGAUUGCCCGUCCGAGUAAUACGAUGGAGGGUAGAAUGCUAGAGCCGUAGGGUGACUUACGGAGUAGAUAAAUGACAGGUGUCUUCUUUUUUAGGAAGAAACAGAACCCGGCUUAUAGAGGCAGUGCUUUC
rnacentral:RNase_P_RNA from 1 species